UACGUAGGGGGCAAGCGUUGUCCGGAUUUAUUGGGCGUAAAGAGCGUGUAGGCGGCCGAGCAGGUCCGCUGUGAAAACUCGAGGCUCAACCUCGAGACGUCGGUGGAAACCGUUUGGCUAGAGUCCGGAAGAGGAGAGUGGAAUUCCCGGUGUAGCGGUGAAAUGCGCAGAUAUCGGGAAGAACACCCGUGGCGAAGGCGGCUCUCUGGGACGGUACUGACGCUGAGACGCGAAAGCGUGGGGAGCGAACAGG
rnacentral:rRNA from 1 species